rnacentral:rRNA from 1 species
UACGAAGGGUGCAAGCGUUACUCGGAAUUACUGGGCGUAAAGCGUGCGUAGGUGGUUUGUUAAGUCUGCUGUGAAAGCCCCGGGCUCAACCUGGGAAUGGCAGUGGAUACUGGCAAGCUAGAGUGCGGUAGAGGGUAGUGGAAUUCCCGGUGUAGCGGUGAAAUGCGUAGAGAUCGGGAGGAACACCAGUGGCGAAGGCGGCUACCUGGACCAGCACUGACACUGAGGCACGAAAGCGUGGGGAGCAAACAGGG